rnacentral:rRNA from 1 species
GUGGGGAAUUUUGGACAAUGGGCGAAAGCCUGAUCCAGCCAUGCCGCGUGCAGGAUGAAGGCCUUCGGGUUGUAAACUGCUUUUGUACGGAACGAAAAGACUCCUUCUAAUAAAGGGGGUCCAUGACGGUACCGUAAGAAUAAGCACCGGCUAACUACGUGCCAGCAGCCGCGGUAAUACGUAGGGUGCAAGCGUUAAUCGGAAUUACUGGGCGUAAAGCGUGCGCAGGCGGUUAUAUAAGACAGAUGUGAAAUCCCCGGGCUCAACCUGGGAACUGCAUUUGUGACUGUAUAGCUAGAGUACGGUAGAGGGGGAUGGAAUUCCGCGUGUAGCAGUGAAAUGCGUAGAUAUGCGGAGGAACACCAAUGGCGAAGGCAAUCCCCUGGGCCUGUACUGACGCUCAUGCACGAAAGCGUGGGGAGCAAACAGGAUUAGAAACCCGGGUAGUCC